UUUCAGAUUAAAGGUGUUUGGUUAGAGUA
rnacentral:piRNA from 1 species